AGGCCUGUCGCAAUGGGAUUGUCACGUCGACGACGGCGCUGGUGAAUGGGCAGGCUAUUGACCAUGCGGUGCAGUUGAGUCGUGAUGAACCGAGUCUGGCCAUAGGGAUGCACUUUGUCCUUACUAUGGGUAAGCCACUGACAGCUAUGCCGGGGUUAACCCGCGAUGGUGUGCUGGGAAAAUGGAUCUGGCAGUUGGCAGAAGAAGAUGCUUUACCGCUGGAAGAAAUUACUCAGGAGCUUGUCAGUCAGUAUUUGCGUUUCAUUGAGCUAUUUGGACGCAAACCUACGCAUCUUGAUAGCCAUCAUCAUGUGCAUAUGUUCCCGCAGAUUUUCCCGAUUGUUGCCAGGUUUGCGGCAGAGCAGGGCAUUGCGUUGCGGGCGGAUCGUCAGAUGGCGUUUGAUUUGCCGGUCAACCUGCGCACUACCCAGGGAUUCAGCAGUGCAUUCUACGGUGAAGAGAUCAGUGAGUCGCUGUUCCUGCAAGUGCUGGAUGACGCAGGCCAUCGGGGUGAUCGUUCGCUGGAGGUGAUGUGUCAUCCGGCGUUUAUCGAUAAUACUAUCCGUCAGAGUGCUUACUGUUUCCCACGCUUAACGGAGCUGGAUGUGUUGACAUCAGCGUCGUUGAAAGGUGCUAUCGCUCAGCGUGGUUAUCGGUUGGGGAGUUAUCGGGAUGUGUAAGUGAGGAUGUUUGCCAGAUGCGGCGUGAACCUUGCAUCCGGCGAUUAAUUCCUACAAAGGCGGCGUAACUGCGCCGCUUGAGACUGCUGACAAACGCAAAACUGCCUGAUGCGCUUCGCUUAUCAGGCC
rnacentral:rRNA from 1 species